UACGGAGGGUGCGAGCGUUGUCCGGAAUCAUUGGGCGUAAAGGGCGCGUAGGUGGCCCGGUCAGUUCGUGGUGAAAGCGCGGGGCUCAACCCUGCGUCGGCCAUGAAUACUGCCGCGGCUGGAGCACUGUAGAGGCAGGCGGAAUUCCGGGUGUAGCGGUGGAAUGCGUAGAGAUCCGGAAGAACCCCGGUGGCGAAGGCGGCCUGCUGGGCAGUUGCUGACACUGAGGCGCGACAGCGUGGGGAGCAAACAGG
rnacentral:rRNA from 1 species